rnacentral:lncRNA from 10 species
GGUGUGGAUGUCAGCAUGAAUACACAUCUUAAAGCUGUGAAAAUGACCCUGAAGAACAGAGAAACUGUACAGCUGGAAACACUGAGUAUUCGAAGAAAUAACAUUGAUAUUUUAUUCUACCAGACAGUUUAUCUCUGGAUACACUACUUGUGGAUGGUGAACUUAAGGUGAAAUCUAAGAAAAGGGAAGCUGUUGCAGGAAGAAGCUGAGGCAGAAGUAGAGGAAGAGGACAUGGCCGUGGCAGAGGAAGAGGGGGUCUUAGGCG